rnacentral:rRNA from 1 species
AGUGAACGCUGGCGGUAGGCCUAACACAUGCAAGUCGAACGGCAGCACAGUAAGAGCUUGCUCUUACGGGUGGCGAGUGGCGGACGGGUGAGGAAUACAUCGGACUCUACUUUUUCGUGGGGGAUAACGUAGGGAAACUUACGCUAAUACCGCAUACGACCUACGGGUGAAAGCAGGGGAUCUUCGGACCUUGCGCGAUUGAAUGAGCCGAUGUCGGAUUAGCUAGUUGGCGGGGUAAAGGCCCACCAAGGCGACGAUCCGUAGCUGGUCUGAGAGGAGGAUCAGCCACACUGGAACUGAGACACGGUCCAGACUCCUACGGGAGGCAGCAGUGGGGAAUAUUGGACAAUGGGCGCAAGCCUGAUCCAGCCAUACCGCGUGGGUGAAGAAGGCCUUCGGGUUGUAAAGCCCUUUUGUUGGGAAAGAAAAGCAGCAGGUUAAUACCCCGCUGUUCUGACGGUACCCAAAGAAUAAGCACCGGCUAACUUCGUG